rnacentral:rRNA from 1 species
AUUGAACGCUGGCGGCAGGCCUAACACAUGCAAGUCGAACGAGUGGCGGACGGGUGAGUAAUGUCUGGGAAACUGCCCGAUGGAGGGGGAUAACUACUGGAAACGGUGGCUAAUACCGCAUACCAUCGGAUGUACCCAGAUGGGAUUAGCUAGUAGGUGGGGUAACGGCUCACCUAGGCGACGAUCCCUAGCUGGUCUGAGAGGAUGACCAGCCACACUGGAACUGAGACACGGUCCAGCCGCCUACGGGAGGCAGCAGUGGGGAAUAGUGCACAAUGGGCGCAAUCCUGAUGCAGCCAUGCCGCGUGUAUGAAGAAGGCCGUCGGGUUGUAAAGUACUUGCAGCGGGGAGGCGUUACCCGCAGAAGAAGCACCGGCUAACUCCGUGCCAGCAGCCGCGGUAAUUC